UACGUAGGGGGCAAGCGUUGUCCGGAAUCAUUGGGCGUAAAGAGCGCGUAGGCGGCCCUGUAAGUCCGCUGUGAAAGUCAAGGGCUCAACCCUUGGAUGCCGGUGGAUACUGCAGGGCUAGAGUCCGGAAGAGGCGAGUGGAAUUCCUGGUGUAGCGGUGAAAUGCGCAGAUAUCAGGAGGAACACCGGUGGCGAAGGCGGAUCUCUGGGCCUUACCUGACGCUCAGGCGCGAAAGCUAGGGGAGCGAACAGG
rnacentral:rRNA from 1 species